UGGCGGCGUGCCUAAUACAUGCAAGUCGAACGCACAGCGAAAGGUGCUUGCACCUUUCAAGUGAGUGGCGAACGGGUGAGUAACACGUGGACAACCUGCCUCAAGGCUGGGGAUAACAUUUGGAAACAGAUGCUAAUACCGAAUAAAACUUAGUGUCGCAUGACACAAAGUUAAAAGGCGCUUCGGCGUCACCUAGAGAUGGAUCCGCGGUGCAUUAGUUAGUUGGUGGGGUAAAGGCCUACCAAGACAAUGAUGCAUAGCCGAGUUGAGAGACUGAUCGGCCACAUUGGGACUGAGACACGGCCCAAACUCCUACGGGAGGCUGCAGUAGGGAAUCUUCCACAAUGGGCGAAAGCCUGAUGGAGCAACGCCGCGUGUGUGAUGAAGGCUUUCGGGUCGUAAAGCACUGUUGUAUGGGAAGAACAGCUAGAAUAGGAAAUGAUUUUAGUUUGACGGUACCAUACCAGAAAGGGACGGCUAAAUACGUGCCAGCAGCCGCGGUAAUACGUAUGUCCCGAGCGUUAUCCGGAUUUAUUGGGCGUAAAGCGAGCGCAGACGGUUUAUUAAGUCUGAUGUGAAAGCCCGGAGCUCAACUCCGGAAUGGCAUUGGAAACUGGUUAACUUGAGUGCAGUAGAGGUAAGUGGAACUCCAUGUGUAGCGGUGGAAUGCGUAGAUAUAUGGAAGAACACCAGUGGCGAAGGCGGCUUACUGGACUGCAACUGACGUUGAGGCUCGAAAGUGUGGGUAGCAAACAGGAUUAGAUACCCUGGUAGUCCACACCGUAAACGAUGAACACUAGGUGUUAGGAGGUUUCCGCCUCUUAGUGCCGAAGCUAACGCAUUAAGUGUUCCGCCUGGGGAGUACGACCGCAAGGUUGAAACUCAAAGGAAUUGACGGGGACCCGCACAAGCGGUGGAGCAUGUGGUUUAAUUCGAAGCAACGCGAAGAACCUUACCAGGUCUUGACAUCCUUUGAAGCUUUUAGAGAUAGAAGUGUUCUCUUCGGAGACAAAGUGACAGGUGGUGCAUGGUCGUCGUCAGCUCGUGUCGUGAGAUGUUGGGUUAAGUCCCGCAACGAGCGCAACCCUUAUUGUUAGUUGCCAGCAUUCAGAUGGGCACUCUAGCGAGACUGCCGGUGACAAACCGGAGGAAGGCGGGGACGACGUCAGAUCAUCAUGCCCCUUAUGACCUGGGCUACACACGUGCUACAAUGGCGUAUACAACGAGUUGCCAACCCGCGAGGGUGAGCUAAUCUCUUAAAGUACGUCUCAGUUCGGAUUGUAGUCUGCAACUCGACUACAUGAAGUCGGAAUCGCUAGUAAUCGCGGAUCAGCACGCCGCGGUGAAUACGUUCCCGGGUCUUGUACACACCGCCCGUCACACCAUGGGAGUUUGUAAUGCCCAAAGCCGGUGGCCUAACCUUUUAGGAAGGAGCCGUCUAAGGCAGGACAGAUGACUGGGG
rnacentral:rRNA from 1 species